rnacentral:rRNA from 1 species
UACGUAGGCAGCGAGCGUUUGUUCGGAAUUACUGGGCGUAAAGAGUGUGUAGGCGGUGCUCCAAGCCUGUUGUGAAAUCUCCCGGCUUAACUUGGGAGGGUGCGGCGGAAACGUAAGAGUGCUAGAGGGUGGGAGGAGGGUAAGCGGAAUUCCUGGUGGUAAGCGGUGGAAAUGCGUAGGAUAAUCAGGAGGAACACCUGUGGUGUAGACAGCUUACUGGACCACUUCUGACGCUGAGACACGAAGCGUGGGUAGCAAACAGGA